rnacentral:rRNA from 1 species
UACGGAGGGUGCGAGCGUUGUUCGGAAUUAUUGGGCGUAAAGCGCGUGUAGGCGGCUCCUUAAGUCUGAUGUGAAAGCCCUGGGCUCAACCCGGGAAGUGCAUUGGAAACUGGGGAACUUGAAUACGGGAGAGGGUAGUGGAAUUCCCGGUGUAGCGGUGAAAUGCGUAGAUAUCGGGAGGAACUCCUGAGGCGAAGGCGGGCUACUGGGCCGAUACUGACGCUGAGACACGAAAGCGUGGGUAGCAAACAGG